AAUAAAUGCAGCCAUGAGUUUCCGCGUCUAACUUUGAUAGUCCGUCUUAUUUAAAUUUUUUUUUAUAAUUAGUAUUUUUAUUGUUAUAAGAUGAUAAAACAUAAAUAGUACUUUACUCGUGACUUAUGUUUUUAAUUUUUUUAAUUUUUUUUAAAUAAGACAAAUGGUCAAAGUUGGAUGCGGAAAACCAUGGCUGCACUUAUU
rfam:Oryza glumipatula chromosome 1, whole genome shotgun sequence.